GUAUGUGUAUUUGGCUUUAGUAUCUGUUCCAGUGACUGAAGAAUGAAAGGGAGCUAAAAUGAUAUGCUAGCACAUUCAUAAUCGCUAAAGCCAUGUCAUGACUGUCAGUCUAUUAUAAGGAGAACAGUUUUGAGUGCUUUAAUAUAAUGCAACAUUUAAGUCAUCUUAAUUAAGGUGAAAAGUUAUUAAAGCCUAGAUUCUUACCUCAAAAAUUUAAAAAUCCAAAGUUAAAAUCAACAAAAUACUACAAAUGUUCUAAAGUGUAUAGAUUAAGGAAAUUAUUUGAUUCUAGCCAAGCUCUCAAGUCUAUCUUAGCAUGAUAUUUAACAUGAACUUGACACAGUGGUGUACAGUUGCCUAACAGGGUAAAUUUAGUAACCCAAGCUGACCAGGAAAGACAGGAGUGCUGAACUGUAGGUCUCAGCCUUGGGCUCUACAGUGUUUAACUUUUUCUUUAUGAACAAUAUCUUGAAAAUGAAUCCAUUUUCAUUCAGUGUGUAGAUUAAAACUUUUUAAUUAAGGCUUUUCUAGAGUUUUGGGGGAAAGGAGAGAACUAGUCUGGCAAGAUCAAAGCAUACAUUGAAAAUAAUCAGUAGAAAUAAACAAAUAGAUCAAUAAGAUGGCACAGGAAAUGCUUCUUUUGAAGGGUAAACUGAGAGAGCUAAAAGUAGGGAAUAAGCUGGCUGUGGGCAAGUUGUUUACCCAUGUGUAUUUGUUAUAAUGAUGAAUAGAUAGUGAACCUUUUGUUUCCUUUAUUAACAACCACUACAAAGAGGCCAAGUUUUUGGAGGUGAGAAAAAGUACCCCUCUUACUGAUUCAAUUCCUGCUAGGAUGUUGUGUCUUAGGAUCAUAUGGGAGCUGGAGAAGAGAAGACAUAGCAGAAAUAAAAUAGAAUACAACAGAGAUUGUGAGAAAAAGUUCAAAGAAUUCAGAUCAUUUAAUUCUGGAGGGGAGAAGCUGUUAAGAUAAUUUAGUAAGUCUUAAGUUAUUUCUUGAAUCUUUUCUUAAAGGACGCAAAGUAAGAAGUAAUAUGGCAAACUGUUUUCUGUCUUCAGUGAGGACAGAAUAAAAGAAUAAGAACCUUUUCAAAAAAACUAAAUAACAAAUUUAAGAUUAAGGGAUAUACUAAAUGUCUUUUAAAGGUUCUGUCCGAUACUUUUUUUUUUACCUCAGGUUGGAACAACGAUGAUGUCAUAGAGAGUACUGAAAGUAACAUUUGAGUUUCACUCCCUAUCUAGAAGAAUUUAGCUCAUGAGAGUUUUUGUAUAUGUUGAGUAGUAGUUGCAUGAGCGCAGUCUUCAUUCAUUGCACAGAGACCAGCUUAGAUAUUAUUUUUAAUUUAACCUGGCGAAUUAAGUGAGACUUGAACACCGUUUUGUUCAUCUUGAAGAAUGUAUAGCAUUAUAGGAUAUUUGAGGGUUUUGUUUCAACUCUAUUGUUAUUUGGAUGUAGUAAUUUCAGCAGACAGAAAGAUUCUAAGAGAUUGGAAACUUUGGGGAUAUCCUUAUAUAGGAAAUAGGGCUCCUGUUUCAUAAGGAAGUCGCUUCUGGAAUGGACACAACAGAGAUAUUAGCUGGAGUUUAAUGGAGAAAUUGUUCUAUGAACUGCUGCUACUGGUAUUUCUUUCCAGUGUUUUCCACUGAUGUUUAUGAUGCUUGAAAAAUCCAAAUUUCGCUUGGAUAAAUUUAUUUUAUGCCUUUUUCUCUCUACCUCCCUCCUUCCCCAGGUGCCCUCCUACAUUUUGUUACUGUGAAAAGCUAUUGCUCUAUUACCUCACUGAUAAAAAAAACCUUAAAUGUAUUCAUCCAGAAUGCUUUAAGCUGAUUCAUAAACUAUGUUUUUUUUUACUUGAUUAUUUUGUUACUAUUGUGAGAAUAUUUAAAACAUUGUAAGAAGUAAUUUUAAAUCUAUUUCAUAGCCUUUUUUGGUCUGUCUGGAUACUACUAUAUGCUAAUUUAUUAUGGCCUUUUAUAAUUCAUUUGUUUUUCUGAGAUUGCUCUAGAAAGUGAUGAGGAAAGAGUCCGACCAAUUGAAAUGGAUGGUCAAUUGAGCUCACAUUUUAUUUCAGGUCUCCUUGUACUUGGGGCAUCCAAAGCACAAAAUUUUAGGAAAUCUUUUUUCCCUUUUGUCCCCCAGAGCAUCUUACCAUAAGAAGUCCAAGUGGAAAGAAGAGAACCUUUCAUUGCAGGACUUGACAUGGCAUGACUUUCUUUAGUUCCAGUUGAAAACCAAGUUAGUUUUUACCACUGGCUACUUUAAAAUAUUAACCAUACUGUUAUGUUCAUUAAGCCGUCUUUUCUCUUUGUUAAAGACUAUAUACCUUAAAAAGCGGACAUAUAAGAAUGAGUAAACUGACCAAGAUAAGGGCACAUGGCAUGCUAAAGUCUGCUUCGCAAAGUUUGCCACCAGCAUAACCCUAAAGCGGAGGAACAUGACAACUAUGUGGGGGAAGGGUCCCAAGCCCAAACUCCGAAGCAGUCUAUUGCUCAUGAAAUUUCAUGUUCUAUCAUAAAAAUGGAAGCUGAAUUUUGCAUUCCCCAUAAUAAAACUGUUUCAAUGUAAAAAUGAUUCCUCCAGUCCUCACGGAACCAGGUGCUGCUGGAAAGGAGAUCCGUGUUGAUCAUAGGGCUGCUCAGUGGUCUUCCCCUCCCCACCUCAAUUGCCACAUCUGCCUGGAGGUACACACACCGACCUUAACGUGAGGAAUAGAAACACAGAACAUAUCUAGCCGGUUCCCUGCAUUUUAAAAGCUGAACUUUGAAAGCAUUACUGCCAAAUUAAACUGACCUGGAACAGUUACAUUAUCACUGAACCUCAUUUUCAGAAGUGUUGGCCACUUUGUUUUCAUUCAUUCACUGGCAUUCCUUGACUUAGAAGGAGCAUCUGACUAUCAGCUCCCUGAGAGCAGAGAUCAUGUGUUAUUAUUUUUCAUAACCUCCCCCACCCCCAUUAUAGUACUGUUAUAGAAUGCUUAGUUAGUGACAGUAGGAAUUAGGGGAUUGUAUCUUAAAGCAGCUAAUAGUUUAAGAAGCAAUCAAAAAUGUUAAUUUUCUGAUUCAGUUUUUUAAACAAAUCUCAUUACUGAAAUUUAUAAUAAAUCAUCUUCAUUAAGCACGCAUACCCUUAAAUAAUCAGCUUCUUUUGAGAGAGCAGAACAUAUUCCUGUUUGGAAAAUUAUAUGUAAUGCCUAGUAUUUUACACUCAUAACAAGGUGUUGGCCAAGUAGGCUAAGAACAUACCUAUGUAGACUUAGUAUCACUGGGUAUAGGUGACACUUUGAGCCGCCUACUGCUACCUUCCAAGUGAAUCACAGCUAAUUUGAUAUGAUUUGAUAUAUUUUUGUCCACUGUUAUGAUUCAUCAUACAUCUCACAAGAGGCACUCAAGCAAGAGUCUGCAUCUGUAUAUAUGGUGAGGCCUUCUUGUUUUAGGCAAAAAUAAACUUUGUAUACAUCACUGAAUAUGCCAGAUGAAAUAUAUGCCAUUAAGAAUGAAUUAUUUUUCUGACCGUGUAGCAGUAGAUCAAAAUUGUGCUCUUGUUUUACCUGUUCUUGUCAAUAUUUUCUCUUUUUUUUUCCGAUGAAAACACCAGGGUGUAUCAUAAGUACUGCCUGUGAGAAUUUGCACUUGAAGUAUUUGUGUGUGGAUUUCUUGUGGUUUUAGCCAAAUGAAGUGUUAUCAGUAAUAAACAGGCCUCUUUAUAGGCAUGA